ensembl:snoRNA
AGGCAUACCUGUGGACCUUGUCUAACUCUGAGUGGACGUGUGCAGUGGGGACUGUUUAUGAAAAAAUAAUUUGUAGUCCGUGCCAACUCUAAUCAGCUUAAUUGGUGGCUGAAUAAAUUGCAGUACUCCUACUUCU